CUGCAGACAUGAAAUCACAGGGAGAGCUUCUCCAAUUCUUAUUUUUAUGAUCUUGGCCAUCAGGCACGAACGAUCACAUCAUCCUGCCUCACAGGGUUCAACUACAGAAAAGAGCAGCCAUGUGACCCUAAAGGACGAGAAUGCAUUGCUUAAAAAUGACAGUCCACCAUCCAAGAAGUUCAGUCACAGGAUAACUUUCUAUAAAUACACAGAGGCCACGGAAACAUGA
rnacentral:lncRNA from 1 species